ACUGAACGCUGGCGGCAUGCUUUACACAUGCAAGUCGAACGGUAACAGGCCGCCAGGUGCUGACGAGUGGCGAACGGGUGAGUAAUGCAUCGGAACGUGCCCAGUCGUGGGGGAUAACUACUCGAAAGAGUAGCUAAUACCGCAUACGAUCUAUGGAUGAAAGCGGGGGACCGUAAGGCCUCGCGCGAUUGGAGCGGCCGAUGUCAGAUUAGGUAGUUGGUGGGGUAAAGGCUCACCAAGCCAACGAUCUGUAGCUGGUCUGAGAGGACGACCAGCCACACUGGGACUGAGACACGGCCCAGACUCCUACGGGAGGCAGCAGUGGGGAAUUUUGGACAAUGGGCGCAAGCCUGAUCCAGCAAUGCCGCGUGCAGGAAGAAGGCCUUCGGGUUGUAAACUGCUUUUGUACGGAACGAAACGGCUCUGGUUAAUACCCGGGGCUAAUGACGGUACCGUAAGAAUAAGCACCGGCUAACUACGUG
rnacentral:rRNA from 1 species